GAUGAAGAACGUAGCGAAAUGCGAUAAGUAAUGCGAAUUGCAGAAUUCAGUGAAUCAUCGAAUCUUUGAACGCACCUUGCGCCCUUUGGACAUUCCGAAGGGCAUGCCUGUUUGAGUAUCAUGAACACCUCAACUCUCACGGCUUGUCCGUGAUGAGCUUGGACUUUGGGGGUCUUGCCGGCCUGUGGUCGGCUCCUCUCAAAUGGAUCAGCUUGCCAGUGUUUGGUGGCAUCACAGGUGUGAUAACUAUCUGCGCUUGUGGUUUUCCAUCAGAUAACCUUCAGUGAUAUGGAGGUUCGCUGGAGCUCACAAAUGUCUCUCCUUAGUGAGGACAGCUCUUUGAACGUUUGAUCUCAAAUCAGGUAGGACUACCCGCUGAACUUAAGCAUAUCAAUAAGCGGAGGA
rnacentral:misc_RNA from 1 species